CCCGCCGCUCUGGGCGCCGCGGGGCUUCCCGGCGGGAAAGAGACCCGGGCCAAGGGCGGAGUCGCUGCGGACACCGCCCCGCCGAGCCCUCCCGCGAGCAGCAAAGCACUAAAAGGCCAGUUGAGUCCUUCUAGCAACCACCCUAUUGAAAACAGGCUUCCAUGCUCAUAGUAAGCUUUGUCCCAGCAUUCCGAAGAUUGCAGUUGUUAGACCCUCGGGGCAAAGGAUCUGGGAGGAAUGGAAAAAGCACUAAAAAGACCAAGGCCUGUUUGUAUGAUGUCCAUCUUCCUGUAUGAUGUCCAGAGACCCAAUCCUGUUCUGUGAAAAAUGUUAAUGGACCAACCUUCAGUUCCGAUGUAGGCAGCAGAUCCAACACCACAAUCUAGGUGCCGUGGCUUCAGGUAAGAAUCAUUGCAAUAAACCUGUGUGGCAUCAUCUUGAUUACCUUGUAGUUUGUCGAAAGCACCCUAAUUUGGUUCUG
rnacentral:lncRNA from 10 species